rnacentral:rRNA from 1 species
GAUGAACGCUGACAGAAUGCUUAACACAUGCAAGUCAACUUGAACUUCGGUUUGGGUGGCGGACGGGUGAGUAACGCGUACAGAACUUGCCUCACAGAUAGGGACAACAUUUGGAGACGAAUGCUAAUACCUGAUAUUAUGAUUUUAGGGCAUCCUAGGAUUAUGAAAGCUAUAUGCGCUGUGAGAGAGCUUUGCGUCCCAUUAGCUAGUUGGAGAGGUAACGGCUCACCAAGGCGAUGAUGGGUAGCCGGCCUGAGAGGGUGAUCGGCCACAAGGGGACUGAGACACGGCCCUUACUCCUACGGGAGGCAGCAGUGGGGAAUAUUGGACAAUGGACCAAGAGUCUGAUCCAGCAAUUCUGUGUGCACGAUGAAGUUUUUCGGAAUGUAAAGUGCUUUCAGUUGGGAAGAAAAAAAUGACGGUACCAACAGAAGAAGUGACGGCUAAAUACGUG